rnacentral:lncRNA from 1 species
CCCUUCAGCAAUGAUAUGUAUUCAGAGCAUUUUGAGUUCAUUGAAAUGUUAUUGCCUGCAUAUUUUAUUUCCAUUUUCAUGGAGACUAAUAUAAGAUCUAUGGUAAGCAGCUAAUUUUCUUCUUUCCUUUUUUCUGUUUCAGUUUCUUAAUAGCAUAAGUGAGGUUUGCAUAAAGUGAGAACUUGAUAGUUCAUCAUCAUAAAAUGAUUCUUUCUAGUUCAAGUUAAAAGGAAGUAACUAAACUAAGAAACUGAAGCCAAAUUUUUCAUGAAUAACAAUCAGUUGGCAUGGUCCAGCCCCACCCAAUUGCCAUGGGUUGGACCCGGCCCAUUUGACAUGUUUAGGAGGUGUCCAUUACUGUAAGUUUGUCACACUAAUGGGGAGAAGCAGCUAAAAGAGGGAAUGGAUCUCUUAUAGUCAAAGGCAAAUAAUGAAUGUCAAACUCGCACAACAAUAGCACCCGCUAUUUCUACUUACUAAAGUGGAAAUUACUGGUACACUUCGCCAAUACAGAAUUAAUACUACUUUAAUUAGCCUGUCCAACUAAAAGCAACAAAAAAUAGAGCAGAGGAUCCCCCAAAUUAAGAAAAAAUACUGAGUAUAAGCCAAACAGAUAGUCGAAUUGAUUUCCUACAACUCCAACAAGAACAUAUAAAGGAAAUCUCGAGAAUUAAGUAGAGACACGACAACACAUGUUCCUAUUACGUAUUUUGUGCACAAAUAUUUCAUCAAGGGUGUUGUACGCUAAUUAGAGAAGAAGGGAUGGGCAAGGGGAGAGGAAGAGGAGGUAAGAAUUCUCAAGGUGUCUCAUGUCACUGAACAAACUUACCCUCUUUUAUGAAGUUCACUAUAGCCUCACAAGAG